rnacentral:lncRNA from 1 species
AAAUGGAUAGUUAGAGGGAAUUAGAGAGAAAACUCCUAAAAGAAAAGCACGCAUGAGAAAGUAUACGAUAGCACCAUCUCUUCCCACUACGCGCUAAGAAGGAAAAGAAAGGAAAGGACAUCACACUGAUAUUUAUUCUAGAGAUACCAAUAUCGACAAGUGGAAUAGCCGAAGAAAGAGCGGCAGAAGGCCUAGUACCACCAGAACAGGAAGAGCAUAAACUCGGUUCCACACAUUUAGUAUCAUCCUCCUCCUACCAUUACUCUCUCAUACGCCUAAAUUACCAAAACCCUAAAAUUUGUGCAUACUCUUAUUUUGGGUGAAAAUUUUGUGAAGGGAUUACUCUAAUUGGGAGAGGCAGGUAGAUGUCUUACUGUAGUUUCUUUGCAUGUUGUUUUAUUUGAUGUAUAUUCUAGUGUGUAUAGGCAGUAAGAUUGUUGUUAUAGAGAACAUGGAUGCUACUGAGGUGAGUUCAUUAAACUUCCCCCAUUGAUUUUUUUCUUUUAUUUUUUGGGCUUUUCAAGUCUUUAAUAGUUGUUGUAGCUUUGCAAUGCUUCUAAUCUGUUGAUUUCAUUUGCAAAGAGUUGAGCAUUAUGGAAUAAUGUACUGUUCCUUUGCAGGAUCAAUUUGACUGCAUUGAUUUGUCUGACAAUGAGAUAGGUAAGCUUGAAAAUUUUCCCUAUCUAAAUCGACUUGGUACUUAGUUGCUAAACAACAAUAGAAUUACCCGUAUCAAUCCUAGCAUUUGGGUUAAAAUUUUGUGCAAACUCUUUGAGAAUUGAAAAGGAAGGGAUUACUCUAAUUAGGAGAUGCAAGUAGAUGUCUUAAUUUGGUUCAACUGUACAAAUUUGAUCUGUCUACUUCCAUUAUUUUAGAAAAUAGAAAAGCACUCUUUUUUGUUUUCUGUGUUUUUUAUUUAUUAAUUUUUUUUGUUGCUAAUUAUGUUUUUUUUAUUUUGUCUUUCGUUUCUCUUUUUUAACUGAGAGUUAAAUCAAAACAAGAAAAGAAAUUUUGAGCCGAAUUUUCAAUCACCACCUAGAAACUGCAAUUGAGAUCAUGAUUGUUAUAUAAUUUAAUUCGAACUCUGAUAGUGGUAUAUGUCUGAUGGAUCAGUUUCUCUUGUAGGGACUUACUGAGAAGUUCAAGGAGAAGGACAUUGCAUACUUGUUCAAGGCUUUAUUCGUUCAAGAUUCUAGCACUCGUCUGUUUGAUGCUUUGGAGCAUUGUGGACUUGCAUUUGGAUAUACUAUAAGGUUGCAUAAGGAUUCUGUUUUUGUUAUGUGCUAACCCUGAUCAGUGUCAUCAAAAUUCAGAAGCUCCUACUUGGGAAUUAUUCCUUGAUUUUGCUACUUUGGAAUUUCUUUGUAACCAUCUCCGUGCAAGAAGAUGCUUAAAUAGGAAAAAUUUGUAAUUAUAAUUUGGAAGAUGUAAUGAAGCAAAGAUAUUAGCGCAAUAUUUGUUUGAUGCAUUUCUAUCUCAUUUUGGUACAUAUUGGCAUGUGCUCUUGUAUUGAAAAUCCCUCUUCACUGAAACAUCACCCUGGUCCAUAUAAAAUGAAAGCAAAUAUACUAGUUUUAUAUAUCACGCUAGCAUUUUGCACAUCACUGUCGAAUUUGGAGAUGGGGUAUGUCGAGCCUCUGAUCAUGUAAUAGAUAACUUGUG